rnacentral:rRNA from 1 species
GAUCAUGGCUCAGGACGAACGCUGGCGGCGUGCUUAACACAUGCAAGUCGAACGAAGAGCGAUGGAAGCUUGCUUCUAUCAAUCUUAGUGGCGAACGGGUGAGUAACGCGUAAUCAACCUGCCCUUCAGAGGGGGACGAACAGUUGGAAACGACUGCUAAUACCGCAUACGAUCUAACCUCGGCAUCGAGGAAAGAAUGAAAGGUGGGCCUCUAUGUAUAAGCUAUCACUGAAGGAGGGG